GGUUGUGGCCUUGAGCCGUGGCUUUCGGAGCUAACGCGUUAAGUAGACCGCCUGGGGAGUACGGUCGCAAGAUUAAAACUCAAAUGAAUUGACGGGGGCCCGCACAAGCGGUGGAGCAUGUGGUUUAAUUCGAUGCAACGCGAAGAACCUUACCUACUCUUGACAUCCAGAGAACUUAGCAGAGAUGCUUUGGUGCCUUCGGGAACUCUGAGACAGGUGCUGCAUGGCUGUCGUCAGCUCGUGUUGUGAAAUGUUGGGUUAAGUCCCGCAACGAGCGCAACCCUUAUCCUUGUUUGCCAGCGAGUAAUGUCGGGAACUCCAGGGAGACUGCCGGUGAUAAACCGGAGGAAGGUGGGGACGACGUCAAGUCAUCAUGGCCCUUACGAGUAGGGCUACACACGUGCUACAAUGGCGCAUACAGAGGGCGGCCAACUUGCGAAAGUGAGCGAAUCCCAAAAAGUGCGUCGUAGUCCGGAUUGGAGUCUGCAACUCGACUCCAUGAAGUCGGAAUCGCUAGUAAUCGUGGAUCAGAAUGCCACGGUGAAUACGUUCCCGGGCCUUGUACACACCGCCCGUCACACCAUGGGAGUGGGCUGCA
rnacentral:rRNA from 1 species